UGGUAAUGCACGACAACGCUCCACACAGCUCGCGGGAGGACAGGAGAGCUGCUUCCUAGAUGCCUCCCCCCUGCUUCUGGUCCUGGCGACAAGAAAGCAGAGUAGGCGCCUGCCGUUUUGGGCAGGCAGGUGCCUACUCUGCAUCGAUGGCAAACCUAUAGCCGUGUGCCCACAGAGAGGGCCCGACGCGCCACCUGUGGCACGCAUGCCAUAGGUUCGCCAUCACUGAUCUAUACACUAAAACUGCUUCAUUAAGCUAAAGUUGUUUAGGUGACUAUAGUGUCCCUUUAAAUCAACUUUUAUAUUUGGAGUGUAUUUAUGAAAAC